CUACGGGUGGCUGCAGUGAGGAAUAUUGCACAAUGGGGGGAACCCUGAUGCAGCAACGCCGCGUGGAGGAUGACGCAUUUCGGUGUGUAAACUCCUUUUAUAUGUCAAGAAAAUGACGGUAGCAUAUGAAUAAGCACCGGCUAACUCCGUGCCAGCAGCCGCGGUAAUACGGAGGGUGCGAAGCGUUACUCGGAAUCACUGGGCGUAAAGGACGCGUAGGCGGGUUGGAAAGUCAGGUGUGAAAUCCUACAGCUUAACUGUAGAACUGCACUUGAAACUUCUAAUCUAGAGUAUGGGAGGGGGAGAUGGAAUUUGUGGUGUAGGGGUAAAAUCCGUAGAUAUCACUAGGAAUACCUAAAGCGAAGGCGAUCUCCUGGAACAUUACUGACGCUAAGGCGUGAAAGCGUGGGGAGCAAACAGGAUUAGAUACCCUGGUAGUC
rnacentral:rRNA from 1 species